UUUGAACACUCCCGUUGCUCUAUUUUCAGAGUGGAUGACAACUGCUCCUAUGGAAUCGCCCCCGUGUUUCCUGUGCUCUGAUUGGUCGAGGUGUCCAGGUUUUAAAGGGACCCCGUCUGCUCUUCUGGCCUGAAGAAGUUUCAGCAGGACUUUUGACAUGACCCUCUCAAGCAAGGAAAAGCUUUGAGCUCCUCUUUCAGGAUACAGCGCCAUAGGGUCGCAGAGAUCAACGAUGGGUGACUGGGCUUGGGCAGAGGAACCUCAGGUUCUGCUAAACAGAACCAUGUCUUCGUUGGACUCCAUCCAUUUUCUGAUCCGCGUCCAACAUUUUAAGAUUUCUGAAGAGGACGUAUUCCGAUUCGGUCAAGUCAGAUAUGCGAAAGUUGAGUCCACUGUUUGCAUGGAGGUCUGAGUUUCCAGCUGCCUCAAUUCUCUUCAGAAUAGAUGUGCAUAAUCCAGACGUUAUAACGGCCUGUAACAUGCCUACUGUUCUUUAAAUGAAGGCUAUGUAGGCUUCGUAAGUUUUUUUGCAAAGUAUGCUAGGCCUACUAUUGCUCUGUGUCAAGCCCACUAACCUACUUGCCCAAUCACAUGCCUCAGUGAUUACACAAAUGCAUAAUGGGACAAUAUAAUUAAAUCAUUAUUAUGUUGGCUAAUUGUGCAUCAGUCCGUUAGGCUGCUAUGUCAUUGAGAAUGAACAAAGUCGUUGUUUGCCAGAGACCCAGUCGUUCAGUCUUUUUCUCGUUCUUUUCGAAAUGUUUCAUUGCCAUACUGGCUGGCGACUUUCUUAUCCAUUGCGUGCUAGCAGUUAAUGGGGAUCCUUAAUAAAAUACAAAAGUACAAACUACAGCUAACUUAGCCAUUUCAAAAAGUGUAACCAGAAUAACAGUAAAGUAGCUGCAUUUGCAUUUGUCUAAACAGUUUUCUAGUGACAUUUACUUGGAUACAUCCAUAACAAUGAGCUAAAGAGGUGCGAUUUUGCCUGGCAUAGAAAAUGUGUUCACUAGUCAGGACACUGUUGUUCAGAGGACAACACAGAUAAUACAAUCACUUCAAACUGAAGCUGGCUAGACAGCCAACUUGCUGCACUUUGUUUCGUUUAACUUUUUUUUUUCAAUUGACGUUUCUUUGUAUAUAUCCAUUAAAAUGAUGAUUUAUGAUUUCGACCGGCUGAGAAACGCUGCCUGCCUGUCUGACUCAUCCGGACUCCCCACACGUUUAUUACAAUGGAGAUCAAAUUUGAAUAUUGAAACAAUGUUUCAAAUGUUGAGACAGACAGCAAGGUUUAUACAAAUCUCCCGCUGUUGAGAACGAAAUGUUAGUCAAAAAGAAAUGUGAGAUAAAGUCUAGAGGAUUUUUAUAGUGGAGAUCAAGUUUGUACAUUUCUUGGCUGGGCUGAUGAGACAGUGGAUUGCGCAGUCAGAUGGAACAGAGUAAAUAGGCAUUUCAUGGUCAUAGAGUUAGCAGGUGGUCACUUCUGGAAUAGACACCGACUGGAAGGCGGUUUUAACCAAUCAGCAUUCACAAUUAGACACACCCGUUGUAUAAAGAACAGAAUAGAAUAGAUGAUUAUGUCAUAGACUCCUGUGUCAACUUUAAACAAUCAUUGGCCAGCUGGGGCAAUGUGUCAUGGGAAAGGCAACACUGUGUAGCCAGUGGUAUUCAUAAUGGAAGGAAGGCUUCACAAGAACCUGGCACAGUAAGGGGAUAGGUCUUAUUACCAUUUAUGAAUGUUUUAUGUGAUGAUCAGUCUGUGUUUGGUGAGUAUGCCCUUGGCUAGGAAUAGGCUAAAAGUAUUUUUAGACCACCGAAUUACAUGCCUUGAUUGAAUAGGGCAAAUGAUUUACACAUAGUUAUUUACUCAAAUAGCUAUGCGAUAUGUCCAGAAUAUUUCAUUAUUUUCCUCAAACUAAAUGAAAACCAUAUUUAGGCUUAACACAGGAGGCUGCUGAGGGGAGGACAGCUCAUAAUAAUGGCUGGAACGGAGCAAAUGGAAUGGCAUCAAACACCUGGAAAUCAUGGAAAUCAUGUGUUUGAUACCAUUCCACUGAUUCUGCUCCAGCCAUUACCACAAGCCCGUCCUCCCCAAUUAAGGUGCCACCAACCUGUGGUAGGCUACAGAGAGAAAUACACUGAUCAAAAAUACAGUGGGGUAUUGUGUGUAGAUUGAUAACAAAAAAACAACAAUUUAAUACAUUUUCGCAUAAGGC
rnacentral:lncRNA from 1 species